AGAGCUUCUCAUGCAGCCUGCACCAGCGCCGGGUCGGAGAGUCAGAGGCCACCCUGAGAUGGACCGAGAUCUUCAGUUGGGGAGGCGCCUCCGGAAACACAAAGAUGGUGCAGACCCAGGCCCUGCUUUGACUGGGAGAAAGAUGCAUUCAGUUGACUAAAACUUGAACCACAGCAUGUUCCGAAGAGAUGAUUGGAAGAUGGAAGUGGAGGGUUAAAUAAUGAAAUGCAGCUAACAUUUCGGAAAGUUUCUAAAAGUUGUACAACAUGCCCUACAGCUACUCUUUAAAUCUCCAAAUCAAAUGAGUUUCAGGUGGAGCCUCUGGGAGGUGAUGAGGUCAUGAGAGUGGAGCCUCAUGAAUGGGAUGAGCACUCCUACAAAAAGGAUUCCAGAGAGCUCGCUUGCUCCUUCCACAGUGUGAGGACACAGAGGGAAGGCUCUGUCUAUGAAUGAGAAAGUGGGUCCCCACCAGACAUUGAAUCUGCCGCAUCUUGAUACUGGACUUCCAGUCUCCAGAACUGUGGGCAAUAAAUGUCUGUUGUUUAUUACCUGUCCAGUAUCUUUGGUAUUUUGCUAUAGCAACCCAAAUGGACUAAGAAAACACCAGAGGCCAUACCUAAUAAAAAUAUUGACAUCACAA
rnacentral:lncRNA from 1 species